rnacentral:lncRNA from 1 species
GAGAACAAACUACCAAUUAACGAGCGAGGAAACAGGGCCAGAGAAUUGGAACAAAAUACAAGGCUGCCUCUGAAAGAGCAGCAUCCAACAGUCUAGAACCUGGAAGAGAGGGCUAGAGGGAGGAGGUGAAGGUGAAGAGUGUAAAUUCUGUGCUUUAAGAAGAAGUUACAUCCACAUGAAGAGGCCCAUGCUUUGUGCCUAUCCUCCAUGUUGGGCUUCUAUGCAGCAUUGUCCACCUCUGGUGCUUUCCUGUGGGUUAUCUCCAGACCAGGAACAAGCUUGCUGUCACAGCUGGAGAGUGGCAGUUACUUAAAACUAAACCUAAAAAAAA